UGAUUUCAAUUGGCUUCGUUGGACUGCAGUAAUUAGGACUUAGCAAAACAAACACUCGAAAAUAAAAUAAAAAACAGCAAAACCUGCUGGUAAAAAGGUGGCGGAAAUAUCAAGAUAUGAAAAAUACCCUGUUUAAGCUAUACACAUAUAUCUGGAUAACAGUCAUUCCUGUCUUUACAAGCACUCCAGCAUCGUGAUAGAUGGCUCAGUAACAAGCGAUAUUAAAAAGUAGAAGUUGGAUCAUCGCCGGACACUUAAGAGAACAUGAUUUGCAGUGACUUGAGGAAUUGCCAUAGAAAUCAAAGACAUAACAUUCUGAAAGCUCGAUCGACAAUAUAAAAAACUCAACAUAUUCCAUAUAAAUACUUGGUAAUAAAUAUGGGGAAUUGCUUCUAGAGUUACACAAUAAGUAGAAAUGAAAAACAAAUGUAGAGAUUCUACAUUAUAAUAAAAAGUAUACUGAUUCUCUCAAUAUUUUGCAGUCUGACAAUCGAUUUUUC